rnacentral:rRNA from 1 species
UACGUAGGGGGCAAGCGUUGUCCGGAUUUAUUGGGCGUAAAGAGCGUGUAGGCGGCUUUACAGGUCCGUUGUGAAAACUCGAGGCUCAACCUCGAGACGCCGGUGGAAACCGUAAAGCUAGAGUCCGGAAGAGGAGAGUGGAAUUCCUGGUGUAGCGGUGAAAUGCGCAGAUAUCAGGAGGAACACCCGUGGCGAAAGCGGCUCUCUGGGACGGUACUGACGCUGAGGCGCGAAAGCGUGGGGAGCGAACAGG